ACGUGACAAGAUGUUGUAUUUUAGAUUCUGUGAGUAACAAGAGGCAGGUAGAGGUGUUUAUAUGUAGUUCUAGGGUUCCGGAUGUUAUUGUGCCCGGCAGCCCCUGCGGAUGGGUGGGUCUAUGGGUCACACGAGGCAUGAAGGGGAGUCAGUUGGGACACGCCCGUCCUCAUUUGGCGCUGGACUAUGGAAAGCCUACCAAAGAUGCCUGUUUCUCACACAUUAUCAGUGCAACAUGCUAGUACCCUGAUACUUUGGUUGCCUAGUGAAGGAACCUGAUGCAAAGCCCGCGUUAUAGAAGACUGCUACCACAUAUAGAAAGCAUCAUGUUAAGUGCUGAAUGGUGACGUGUACCUGGUAUCUGUUGACAAUGCCUACCUCUAAGAAAAUGUGCAAGUGUAAAAACGGCUGAUCAGAAGAGGGCAAGAAACUGGAUGACCGUAGUAGAAUAACUGACCAGAUCGCCAACAAAGUUGAUGAAGCCAAAAAAUGGACAAGCUGUAAUCUUGACGUUGCAGUCUCACACCCUUGCAGUGAUCUUUCUCAUCUAGUGAUUCUCAUCCUUAUUGUAUAAAAAUGCAGUUACCUGUCGUCAUCUUUCAUGCUGUCUGAAUCACAAGUCAUUGGAUCAGCCCCUGAUGGCUUCUCCUUCUCCCACCAGCCUUGAUUGAUGGACCUCUCCCUGUUUGGGUAUAGGGAUAGAUUUAUCAAUCAGGGUGGCAGAAGCCGCUGGCAUCCAUCCUAUUGACGUGUGGUUUAGGCAGCCUGUAAAUGACUGGUUCCCUAUAAGUUUGAGUUUGUCGAUCACAUGCAUACUUGGAUAAGUUUGUAAAUUAGGGAUAGAAAAAUAUUUUCAUUAUGUUAAAUUGAUCUUUUGUUACUAGUCUAAUAAACAUGUUGUGAA